rnacentral:misc_RNA from 1 species
UCCGGUUUGUCACCGGCGGUCUCCUUAGAGUUCCCAACUUAAUGAUGGCAACUAAGGACAAGGGUUGCGCUCGUUGCGGGACUUAACCCAACAUCUCACGACACGAGCUGACGACAGCCAUGCAGCACCUGUCUCAUGGUUCCCGAAGGCACCAAGGCAUCUCUGCCAAGUUCCGUGGAUGUCAAGGCCAGGUAAGGUUCUUCGCGUUGCAUCGAAUUAAGCCACAUACUCCACCGCUUGUGCAGGCCCCCGUCAAUUUCUUUGAGUUUUAAUCUUGCGACCGUACUUCCAGGCGGCAUAUUUAUCGCGUUAGCUACGCCACAAAAGGGGUCGAAUCCUUUUACAGCAAAUAUGCACCGUUUACAGCUAGGACUAA